ACGACCUCCGCUGGCUUCCGUCGUCCUAGCGGCCGCAACACUUGGAGCCGAUCUCCAAGACCGGUGCCAAACGAACCACCACUCGACCGCCAACAUUUCCAGACCCGUCGCCGCCGCUUCCGUGGCCGGAGUUCGCCGGAAACGGCCAUUGUUUACCGAUUUCCAGUUCAAACUUCCAGCUCGUUUUUUCUCCUUCAAUUCUCCACCAAAUCGAUCGAGUAAGAGGUCCAGUCGACCCGCAGGAGGGACCUUCGAAGGGUCCAGUUAGCUCGGACCAUCAGCCGUAGAAGUACGAAGGAAAUCACUCGGGCCAUCUUCCCAGCUUUCGCCCCACCACCAAAGUGUAGGAUCUCGUUGUACAUUCUUAUAGUUUUGUAAAUUUGUAGAAAAGCUCUCAUAUCUAGUUGAAACUGAGAUUAUUGAAGUUGAGAUCUGUUGUUUGAGA